rnacentral:lncRNA from 1 species
CGGAUGUAGAUGAUAAGAAACUUUUGCAGCUCAAUGUAUGUGUUGCACUUAGCUGCCUUGAAAAUAAGAAAAUUUUGCAGCUCAAUGUCUAUGAGCAAUUGAAUUUAGCUGCUUUGAAAAUAAGAAAAUUUUGCAGCUCAAUGUAUAUGUUGCACUUGGAUUUAGCUACCUUGAAAAUACAUAAUUGGUAGUUGAAGUUAGCAACGUCCAUUGGCCAAUAUUACGGGAUAAAAAGGACGAUGCUUUGUUUUAAAUUAUUCUUUAUCUUUCCUGUAUCUUUUUUUGUCUUUUUCGUUAAGACCAUCAGGUUCUAAAGUGUGGAGUUGGUGGAUCCAAAAGUUUUCUCUUCUCCUCGCCGUGGUGUCCCGCGGUGUUGACUUCUAUAAUUUGGAAAGUAACAUUAGCAAAAAGGAUGUUUCGUUGAACUAAGAUGUCUUGUGAGAGGACAGUUUUUGUUGGUUUUGUACGAUGAACGAUGGUUAUUGAGCCGAAUAUUAAAUUUGUCAAUUGUUUCUCCCACAUACUGAAUGCCACAAGUGUCACAUGUUAAUAUAUAAAUUGAGUUUUCCGUUUUACAGUUGGAAUAAGAGUAGAUGGUAUAAUUUUGUUUAGUAACGGAGCUGAUGAAAGAACUGCUUGUAUUGGCAGAUUUACAACACAAACAAUUCCUUCGACCACAUUGUUUGUAGCAACCGGGCGAUGGAUUAGGAUUAGGCUGCUUUGCUAAUACAGAUGUCACUAAUUUGUCACUGAUGUUUUUAGGUCUUCUGAAGGCCAUGACUGGUGGUGAUGAAAAAACUUUUUUAGAUUUAAAUUUAUUUUCUAUAAUUUUCCAAUGCUUCUGAACAAUGGAUGACACAUUUUUAAAAUCAGGAUGGUAAGUGAGUACAAGGGGUGUUCUGUUAGCUGCUUUAUUCUUAUCUUUGUACUCAAGAAGUUCUUGGCGACUAGUUCUGUUUGCUCUUUCGAAAGCGCUAUCAAUGAUGUUGUUAUUGUAUCCUCGAACAACUAGAUGUUUACGAAGUUGUCCAAGUCUAGAAUUUUUCGUAUUUUCAGUAGAGCAUAUUCUCUUGAUUCGCAAUGCCUGGCUGAAUGGGAUACCACGAGAGCAGUGUUUAGGAUGGCAACUUUUAGGAGAAAGGAAUUGAUGUUUGUCCGUUCGUUUGGUAUGAAGGUCCGUUAUAAUGGUUUCGUUCUUGAUGUAACUCGUAGUAUCGAGGAAGUUAAUUUUCUCCAUAGAUGAUUCAUAUGUAAAUUUUAUUGAAUGGUGGAAAGAGUUACAUUGUUCUAGAAAUUCAUUGAGAUGUUGUUGUGAAUCUAUCCAAUUGAAAUCAAUAUCGUCCAUGAAUCGGAACCAUGAUAAAGGCUGAUAUGGAGCACUAGCCAAGAGGCGUUUUUCAAGUUGGCCCAUAAAUAUGUUGGCAUAUGACGGGGCAAUUUUUGUACCCAUACUAGUACCGUCUAUCUGGAGAUAGUGUUUUUCAUUGAAAGAGAAGUUGUUAUUCUCCAGUACUAGUUUCAGAAGUGUAACAAGGCACUCAGUAGGAGGAUUUUUUUCACUACGAGUGGUCCAUGCAUCUUCACACGCUGCUAUUCCUUCGUCUUGUGGAAUGUUGGUAUAUAAAGAAGACACGUCCAUGGAUGCAAGUAUAGUAUUGC